rnacentral:rRNA from 1 species
AUUGAACGCUGGCGGCAUGCCUUACACAUGCAAGUCGAACGGCAGCACGGGAGCAAUCCUGGUGGCGAGUGGCGAACGGGUGAGUAAAGUAUCGGAACGUGCCCAGUCGUGGGGGAUAACGUAGCGAAAGUUACGCUAAUACCGCAUACGAUCUAUGGAUGGAAGCGGGGGAUCGCAAGACCUCGCGCGAUUGGAGCGGCCGAUAUCAGAUUAGGUAGUUGGUGGGGUAAAGGCGCACCAAGCCGACGAUCUGUAGCUGGUCUGAGAGGACGACCAGCCACACUGGGACUGAGACACGGCCCAGACUCCUACGGGAGGCAGCAGUGGGGAAUUUUGGACAAUGGGCGAAAGCCUGAUCCAGCCAUGCCGCGUGCAGGAUGAAGGCCUUCGGGUUGUAAACUGCUUUUGUACGGAACGAAAAGGUUUGGCCUAAUAAGCUGAGCUUAUGACGGUACCGUAAGAAUAAGCACCGGCUAACUACGUGCCAGCAGCCGCCGUAA